rnacentral:tRNA from 1 species
ACUAUUUAGGCAGAUUAUUGUGAUAAAUUUAGAAUUUAUUUAUGGGGAACCAAAUAGUA